GACGAACGCUGGCGGCGUGCUUAACACAUGCAAGUCGAACGGAAAGGCCCUGCUUUUGUGGGGUGCUCGAGUGGCGAACGGGUGAGUAACACGUGAGUAACCUGCCCUUGACUUUGGGAUAACUUCAGGAAACUGGGGCUAAUACCGGAUAGGAGCUCCUGCUGCAUGGUGGGGGUUGGAAAGUUUCGGCGGUCGGGGAUGGACUCGCGGCUUAUCAGCUUGUUGGUGGGGUAGUGGCUUACCAAGGCUUUGACGGGUAGCCGGCCUGGGAGGGUGACCGGCCACAAUGGGACUACGGGACGGCCCAGAGUCCUACGGUGGGCAGCAGUGGGGAAUAUUGCACAGUGGGCGGAAGCCUGAUGCGGCAGCGCCGCGUUCGGGAUGACGGCCUUCGGGUUGUGAACCGCUUUCGCCUGUGACGAAGCGUGAGUGACGGUAAUGGGUAAAGAAGCACCGGCUAACUACGUG
rnacentral:rRNA from 1 species